UCUCUCCAUCCUCCCUCCUCAUCCAGCUCCUCUUCUCCACGUCGCCGCCACCUCCUCCUCUUCUCCAUGCUGUCGCCGCCUCCUCCUCUUCCCCGUACCUCACGGCCGCCUCGCCCCCUUCAGCACCUCCUCCUCCCCUUCCUCUCCUCGGCGCUCGAGCAGAUGAGAGGGAGAGAGAAGGAAGGGGAGGCGGCGCUCAAGCAGAUGAGACACACAGAGAGAGAGGUAGGUGCAGCGAGGCGACGGACGGGAGAGGGGCAAGGGCGAGCUCCAACGCGAGCGCCCGGACCCGUCACCCACGCCAGCGAGGUGCUCGGCCCCGAGCUGCGCCUCUACCACCGCAAAGGCGACUGCUGCGACCAUGCUCGAUUUUAUCUAACAGCAGAACUACCUACUGAUGGCUCACAAGAUCGAAAACUAAGCCUGAUUUCUCAGGAAUCUUCCAUUGUGGUGCUUAUGUGUCUAAGAAAUUAACAUGGCAGAGGCUCUAGAGAGGAGGUUUGAUUUUCCUUUUCGGGGUUUGUAGAACGAAUGCAAGAAUUUCU